rnacentral:lncRNA from 1 species
UAUAUAUAUAUAUAUAUGUAUGCAUAUGUACACAUGCAUAUAUGUAUAUACACAUAUGCACAAACCAUCAUAUUACCAUAUCUUCAUGCAGUCCAUCACCAUACAGUCCAUCACCAUGAUCUCAACCUGCUAGAAAUAGCAGCCAAAUCUGCCUACACUCACACCUUGCAGUUUUUAAGUAACAGAAGGACCAGCAGUAAUGUGCUCCAAAAAACAUUGGAGUGUCGUGGCUGGGUUGUCUCUAACCAUGGUUUUGCUCAUUAGAGUUUGACGUGGAUCAUAACAACAACUAGCACCACACAUGAAACAUCACAUUGCUAUACACCACUUCCAUAUUGCUACCAUACCAUCGACUUAACUAUUGCCCUUUGCUUACCGUUAUUGCUCCGGAAAUACCACUGCAAUGGUAUUUUGCUCACCUCAACAGCAUAAACCACAUAUUGUUAGCAAUAGAGGUAGACACCCAAAACCUUUGCCCACCCAUUCUUUUUCUCUGCCUCUAAUGGUUUUACCAUUCGUAUAACUUACCCAAAGUUGGCUUGGUAACUAUACCAUGGUAACUAUACCAUCACCUUCAGAGUUACCAGCUCUGUUUAAAAAGAUCUACCCCCAGUUAGGAGAUACACUAUCUCCAUGGGAUACUAUCAUCUUUAAUUUACCCACAGGUAGUAAUUUCUUCUGUUGGUUUUUAAAAUCCUUGUUAAAUUUAACCACAAGUUCAUAACUUUCUACUGGUUACCAUCAAUUUUUUUUUUUAACCCAGAAUCUCUUUUUAUAAUUACCUCAACUGGUAAAUAAAAGCUAUUUUAUUUUAUCCACUUUUUAUAACUUUCUACUGGUUACCACCAAUUUUUUUUACCAGAAUCUCUUGGUAAUUACCACAGCUGAUAAAUGAAACCCACUGAUUUAUAACUUUCUGCUGGUUACCAUCAAUUUUUUUUACCAGAAUCUCUUGGUAAUUACCACAGCUGAUAAAUGAAACCCACUGAUUUAUAACUUUUUGCUGGUUACCACCAAUUUUUUUUACCAGAAUCUCUUGGUAAUUACCACAGCUGAUAAAUGAAACCCACUGAUAUAUAACUUUUUGCUGGUUACCACCAAACUCUUUCUUUUUUUACCUACAUUCUCUUGCUAAUUAUUUCAGCUGGUUAAAAAAAAAAACAAGACAAUUUUACCCAUAACUAUUUCUGCUGGUUACCAUAAAUUUUUAUUAUUUACCCAGAACCCCUUGGUAAUUGCUCCAGUUGGUAAAAGAAAAAAAACACUUUAUUCUACCCACAUGUUUGUAACUGUUUCUGCUGGUUACCAUUAAUUUUUUUUGUUCCCCACAAUUCAUUGGUAAUUACCUCACCUGGUAAAUGAAAGCCACUUUAUUUUAACCACAGGUUCAUAACUGUCUCUACUGAUUACCAUCGAAGCUUUUUUCUUUCCCCAUAACCUCUUUGUAACUACCUUCACUGGUAAAAGGGGGGGAACGUUUUAACCACAGGUUCAUAGCUGUUUCCCCUGGUUACCAUCAAAAAAUUUUUAACAUUUCACCUCAGUCUCUUGGUAUUUGCUUCAGCUGGUAAUAAACCCAAUUUAUUUUACUCACUGGUUAAUAACUGUUUCUGCUGGUUAUCAUCAAAGUUUCUUUUUUAUUUACCCACAAUGUCUUGGUAAUUGCUUCAGCUGGUAAAUAAACCCACUUUAUUUUACCCAUAACUGUUUCUGCCAGUUACCAUCAAUUUUUUUUUAUUUACCCAGAAUCUCUUGGUAAUUGCUUCAGGUGUUAAAAUAAAACAACUUUAUUUUUCCCACAAAUUCAUAACUGUUUCUGCUAAGUACCAUAAAAGUUGUUUUUUUUUAAUUUGUCCACAAUCGCUUGAUAAUUACUCCAGCUGGUAAAAAAAGAAACCCGACUGAAUUUUACCUACAGGUUCAUAGCUGUUUCUGCUGGUUACCAUCAAUUCUUUUUUAUUUACCUACAAUCUCUUGGUAAUUACUUCAGCUGGUAAAAAAACAACUUUAUUUUACCCACAGGUUCAUAGCUGUUUCUGCUGGUUACCAUCAAUUCUUUAUUUACCUACAAUCUCUUGGUAAUUACUUCAGCUGGUAAAAAAAAAACCCACUUUCUUUUACCUUCAGAUUUAUAACUAUCUCUGCCUGUUACCAUCAAGGUUUUUUGUAUAUUUACCCACAGAGUUUUUAUUUUUAUUUUUACCAGGUGGUAAAAAGAAAACACUAUUUUUACCCAUACAUUCAUAACUGCCUCUGCUGCUUACCAUCACUUUCUCAUUUUACUCCCAAUCAGUUGGUAAUUACCUCAGCUUGCUAGAAACCACUGUUACAGGUAAAUUGACCCACUGCCUCAACUGAUUACCAUCAUAUUUUUCAGUUACCCACCCUCUGUUGGUAACUACAUCAUCUGGUUUAACCUAAAUUAUUUAUCAACUUCUUUCUUAAUUACUCCUGUCGGUUACCUCUGUGGCCAAUAUACCCACAAUCAGUAAUUGCCACAGCUGAUUAAAAACUAUUUAUUUUGCCCACACGGUUAAUUAGUGUCUAAUUAUCCAUCACAUUUUUAUCAUUUAUCCACAAUCAAUUGUCAGUUGCCUCAAAUGGUUAAAAAUCUAUCACUAUUUUACCCACAGGUUCAUAACAGCUUCUACUGCUUUUCUCAUUUACCCACAGUCAGUUGAUAAUUGCCUCAGAUUCCUAGAAACCACAAUUUAAUUUACCCAUGGGUUCAUAACAGCCUCUACUGCUUUUCUCAAUUACCCACAAUCAGUUGAUAAUUGCCACAGAUUCCUAGAAACCACAAUUUAAUUUACCCACAGGUUCAUAACAGCCUCUACUGCUUUUCUCAUUUACCCACAAUCAGUUGAUAAUUGCCUCAGAUUCCUAGAAACCACAAUUUAAUUUACCCACAGGUUCAUAACAGCCUCUACUGCUUUUCUCAUUAACCCACAAUCAGUU